ACAUUUUUUUCUCACCUUGAGUGUAACCCCAGAGGUCAAGAGUCAUGGGAUGAAGUUUGCUGAGGAGCAGCUGCUAAAGCAUGGAUGGACUCAAGGCAAAGGCCUGGGCUGGAAGGAGAAUGACAUGACCCAGGCCCUCAGGGUGACACUGAAGCAGGACACUCAUGGGAUGGGACAUGACCCUGCCAAGGAGUUCACAAACCACUGGUUGAACGAGCUCUUCAACAAGACUGCAGCCAACUUGGUAGUGGAGACUGGACAGGAUGGAGUACAGAUAAGGCGCCUUCUACGGAGACCACCUGUCGUAAUCCUCCCAAGCCCAACUUGCUGUAUCAGAAGUUUGUGAAGAUGGCUACCCUGACUUCAGAUGGAGAGAAGCCAGACAAAAACAUGGAAAGUUGCAGUGACGAUGACAACCAGAGGCCCAACCCCCCAAAAAUUCUGACGGAUGAGAUGCUGCUCCAAGCCUGUGAGGGGCCAAUAGCACAGAAGGCUGCCCGUUUUGGGAUUACGAUGAAGGCCAAGCUUGCUCGGCUGGAGGCCCAGGAGCAGGCCUUCCUGGCUCAUCUCAAAGGCCAAGACUCUCAGGCCUCUCAACCACAGUCAGAGAGCAAGCCCCCCAAAAAGAAGAAAAAGAAAAGGAAGCAUAAAGAGGAGGAAGAGGCUACAGCAUCUGAAAGGAAUGCAGAUGAGAAGCACCCAGAACACACUGACCAGAGCACCAGGAAAAGCAAGAAGAAGAAAAGGCAACAUCAAGAACAAAAGGUCUCAGAUAAGAAAGAGGGAACAACUGUAGGGAAUGAGGAAGAAGAAGCUGCAGGAACAAGUGAGCUUAGGGAAUUGAAGAGCAGAGAGCAAACCAAUCAGUCCCCCAGGAAAAAGAAGAGAAAGAAGCAGCACCAUGAAGAGGAGAAGAUGGGAGUCUUGGAUGAAGGAGGAAGAGGUAAGGAGGCUACAGGUGCUGUCAGGACAGAGGAGGUAGAGAGCACAGUGUACACCGACCCGUGCAGCAGAAGCAAGAAGAAACGGUACCAUGAGAAGGAUUUGAACUUAGAGGAUGAAGAAGUUGGGGAAACUGUUUUGGACAGUGGGACCAGGGACACAGAGAACAGAGCAUGCAGUGAUAGAGGAAGGAGAAGCAAGAAGAAAACACGGCGACAUCGAGAGGAGGAGGAAGUCGUCAAUAUA